rnacentral:lncRNA from 1 species
GGAGGAUACUGUCCCCAGGAGCACCCUCCCUGCUGGUCUUGUCCCUCUGCCCCUCCCACCUGCACAUGUCACACUGACCACAUCUGUAGACAUCUUGAGUUGUAGCUGCAGAUGGGGACCAGUGGCUCCCAUUUUCAUUUUAGCCAUUUUGUCGCCUGCACCCACUCCCUUCAUACAAUCUAGUCAGAAUAGCAGUUCUAGAGCACAGGUUCUCAGUCUAAGCUGUGGAAAAGCUCCCCUUAUCCAACAGAGUUUAAAAGUAGUGACUUGGGUUUUUGUGAGUGCUUUGUUUACUAAGGACUUUGGGGAGGAACAUGCUAAGCCACGACCAAUGAGGAGAAGCAACAGAGCCUGUCUGUCCCCAUGAGCAGAGUCUGUCCUCUGCUCUUCUGCAGUCAGGCCACUGCCUGGGGGCUCUAGUCAUUCCAGUGGAAGAUGAAUGUAAUCUGCAUGGUGAUGUGACAACUGUUUCCUCCUUGACCCCAGAGGAUCUGGCUCUAGGUUGGGAUCAAUCCUGAAUUUCGUUAUGUGUUAUAUUUACUUUUAUUAAAAAAGUAUAGUAUAUAUUAAUAAUACAAAACAAUAACCCUUCUGGGGUUUCUUGUGGCGGUUGAAAUAGUCCCACAUGUGGUCAUCAGAAAAUAAGCCAUUCCUCAUACCAAUAUAGGAUCAGCUCCUUGACCUCUGAGGGGCAGGAGUGCUUCCUGGUGUGUGUAUUAGAAUCCCUUCCUGCCUUGUUUCAUGGCAGUGAAAUGCCUCUUGGUCCUGUCCAAGUGUGUUUUUUUUUUUUUUUUUUUUU